GGUCCUCGAGCUUGGUCGCACUGGACCAACAGACCGUCGUCGUCGACGUACUUCAGCGUGGUUUCCAUUUCACCGUCCGCCGCGGCACAGUUGGUCCACGGUUGUCGUUCCGCAGUAACAGAUGAUGGUUGGUGAGUUUGACGUGCGGGCGUGGCGUACUCCUCAUCCGACAAAGUGAAAGCUGCCGAAGAUGCGGCGCAAGAAUCACUGCCGGAAAAGUGGCACUUUUCCAUUUUUUCCGCUUCAGCUAACAGACGUGCAUUCGUAUUGCUGCGUUAGAGGUGAAAUUCUUGGAUCGCAGCAAGAUGAACAAUUGCGAAAGCAUUUGCCAAGAAUGUUUUCAUUAAUCAAGAACGAAAGUUAGAGGUUCGAAGGCGAUCAGAUACCGCCCUAGUUCUAACGGUAAACUAUGCCAACCAGCGAUUCGCCGAAGUUCAUUUAAGACUCGGCGAGCAGCUUCCGGGAAACCAAAGUGUUCCGGUUCCGGGGGAAGUAUGGUUGCAAAGCUGAAACUUAAAGGAAUUGACGGAAGGGCACCACCAGGAGUGGAGCCUGCGGCUUAAUUUGACGCAACACGGGAAAACUCACCCGGCCCGGACACUGGAAGGAUUGACAGAUUGACAGCUCUUUCUUGAUUCAGUGGGUAGUGGUGCAUGGCCGUUCUUAGUUGGUGGAGCGAUUUGUCUGGUUAAUUCCGAUAACGACCGAGACUCUACCCUAUCAAAUAGUGACAGUAUUGUAUUUUUUGUGCUGAUCACUUCUUAGAGGGACUGGCAAAUUGAAAGCUGCACGAAAAAGAGCAAUAACAGGUCUGUGAUGCCCUUCGAUGUCCGGGGCUGCACGCGCGCUACAAUGAAAGCGUCAACGUGAGUUACGUCCUUACCUGAAAAGGUUUGGCAAUCGAAUGAAACGUUUUCUUGAAUGGAAUAGGGAAUUGCAAUUGUUUCCCUUGAACGAGGAAUUCCCAGUAAGCGUGAGUCAUUAGCUCGCGUUGAUUACGUCCCUGCCCUUUGUACACACCGCCCGUCGCUACUACCGAUUGGAUGAUUUAGUGAGGUGUUUUGACUGGCGCCAGUAGUCGGAUGUAUUCGGCUUCGCGCCGGGAAAUUUCCCAAACCAAAUCAUCUAGAGGAAGUAAAAGUCGUAACAAGGUUUCCGUAGGUGAACCUGCGGAAG
rnacentral:rRNA from 1 species